rnacentral:tRNA from 1 species
GACACCGGUAAGAUUCGAACUUACCCGUUUGCUGAACGGGCGCGUUACAAACUACACCACAGAGUCGUAGGUUCGAAUCCUACCGGUGUCU